rnacentral:misc_RNA from 1 species
CUCCCAGCGCAUCAGAUGACUACCCUUUCUCCUCCCCCGCAUGCCGGCGGGACGCCACGUCACUCGUCCUCCAUCAGCACUGUCAAGGACUUUAGGCCGGACGAUCGUCCCUUGCUCUCUUUCAUUGCCCUGAGCGCGGCCCAGAGCUCUAUGGCCCGCUCCGCCGAGGUUGUCUUGGAUGCGGCGCUGAUGCCCCCCACGACGCCGUCGCCAUCGGCGUCUCUAGUUUCAUCGGUCGACGAAACCAGCAGCGCUGACAGCUUAAGUGCCCGAUACCCCGAAGUGCGCGUACUGCUUCAUUUGCACUACUUGCGGUGUGCGCUCCGCGAUCUACAGGAGUGCCCCGCACACGCACGUCGAACGUUUUUCUCCAUCAUCCAUGAGCACCUCGCCGCCUUAGCGCUGGUACUGCCGGAACCACUCUUCACCGCCAUCGCUGCAGUGCUUCAGCGCUUCCUGGCCAUGAGCACCGACGAGGCCCUCGCCAAGGACCGCUGUCACGUGCUGGAGGUGCAGCUGAUGCACAUUGUGGAGGCAACGCAGACGGAGCUGCUGCGCGCCACUAAGCAGCUGAGUAUGCGAGCCGGAGUCAUGACACUUCGCUUUCACCACGACAUCCCCUACCUGUGAGCGAGGGGACUCUCCCUGCGCCUCGUCCGGCACAGACAUGCACACCCCACGAAAGAGCGCCCCAUGAGCGUCGUCGGGGUGAUCAGAGGCUGGCGGGAAGACGUGUUUCUUCCUUUUUUUCGGGGGUGGGGGUUGCACUGCUUCCUGGUUCUGUCUCUUUCUGUCUACGCCACUCUCUCUCUCUUGUAAAGCCUCCUACGUGACGGAGGCGCGUGGGUCGCGGUGUAUGAUGGGCACAGCCAGAGCCACCAAUAGAGAAACUAAAAGGCAAAGCCCUGAAGGGCCACAGCGAAGAAAAUGCUGUCCGCGUGUGAGCGGAAAUCAUUUCUUAUGCACAGCGGUGGUGGUAGCAGGGGCCUGCUCAUCCCCCUCGCUUUUCUUUUCGCCUCUCGUGUGACCCUUCAUGGAUCUCUGAUCGCGUCGUGCAUGCAUCUCCUGCAUGCGCAGUCGUACCAAAUCGCUCCCCCUCUCUCCUUUUUCCUACUCGCUUGUUGCUGCGGGACCGCCUCCGGGUUUAUAACUGGCUGGGUGCCUUUGGCCUGCUGAUCUUCGUUUGGGUGUGCUUGUACGGCCGCCGCGUUUUUUUUUUUCGUGCCUUCCACGCUGUCACGCGCACCAUUGCGUCCAAACACAG